GGGCCGCAGCUGGAGGACGGGGCCCUGCCCGCCGCCUCCCCCGGGAGCUCCGCGGCCAUCUGCGGGGCAGCCGGGGACAAGCGGGAGCAUCUGGCGGCCUGGGUGGCAGGAGCAGUAGAGGAAGGGACCAUCAUGUACCAAAACAGCAAUGUGGAUCCUGCAGAGAGCCUAAUUAAAACAGUGUGAAAAAAGAACGAUACAUGGAAGCGGCAUAAAAUAUUCACAGGGUUCUAGUGAUGAUCCAACCUAGGAAGGUGAGGCUGUGCCCUUUGGAAAUGCAAGCCAGUUUGUCCAGUUGCUAGCGCAGCAGAGGCUGGGGAGGUGCACACGAAGCCUGCUGCAGACUGACACCCCUUUGCAGAAGGAUCAGCAUGCGGACUGUGACAAACUGUGUUUCUGCAUAGGUCUGCAUCAUCCUCAACCAGAGCUCCACUGUUUUGUCUUUCUCCAGACACUGUGUACUUCUGCAAUUGUCCAUUAACCUCCUGUGCUCCUGUCCUCCAAACAAUUUGGAAAUGCACGCAGAUGCAAACAUGGAAACAGUUUCUGCAGCAGUACCUAAGUUUUGUAACAAACCCAGAGCAUCAUGAAACCAGGGCAUGGACAUCAAUGGGACGAAAUAUUCUCCUACAGUCAUGCUAGGUGAAAUGCAGGCGCUUUCAUAAAACAAACACUCUGAAGUAAAGCAAGCAUUUAUUUUGAAAAUAGGUCUUAAUUCCACGAAAAUUGUACAAAAGUGUCACAAUGAUGAACAUUAAGUAUACCUCCGUGUUAGUUGUUACCAACAAAUUAUUCUCCAUUGGCUCCGACCACUUCUUGAAAUGUUCUGAUUCAGGUUUGAAGUAGUUACAGAAACCAGAUUUGAGGAAUAUUAGAGCAACUUUUAGAAUAAGAAGUGAGCAGUACAAUACAGCGGAGCUGGAAUCUCGGGCCUGAAGAAUCCCAUCUAAAAAGUUACUUCCAAUAGCAAACGAAAGGCAGAGUGCAAAAAGAUAAAUUAUCCAUUAAUAAAUCUUGCACACUUACAACACACAAGCCAUAAUGCAUUUCAGUUGCUCUUGUAAUUUUGUAAAGUUGGUUUACCUAAUAUGGUAAAUAUGCCAUAUGGGUCUACUAACGGGAGUGCUAGAACAAAGACUGAUGAUUUCUAGGUUUUUAUUUCUAGUUCUGUAAUACAACUGUAAGCUGCAUUCCAGCUGCCCUAAAAUGCGAGCAGCAGAAGAACAUAGGCUGCUCUAACCUUUUGUGUUGACUACUGCUGCCAUGGGAUAAUUUAAUCCAUCUCUCGUGUCGCUCACUCUCUUCCUCCAUCACUCUCACCAGCCCAGCUUUGGGCUAUACACCCAUUUAGGUGCUGCAAAAGAAAGAUGUGCAGCCACUGUGCACCUUCAGGCUGCUUUAGCUCAAGCCUAGCUCCCCCCAUAAAUCAUUUGAGCAGCUGAUGUAGAUUAAUUCUUCCACUGUUUUGGGAAUGCAAAGAGACUUCUAUUCUAGAUAGUUCUUUGGUAUGUUGCUUAUAGAAUUUCAUCACAGCUAAAACUGGCAAUGUGCUUGACUGGGGCAGCAACAAACCGGUAGACGUGACUCUGCUUGAAGCAGCAUUCCUGCCUUGCAAGAAGUGGGCAACUACUUUGCAGCAUUACAAUUGGGCAAAAAAAUGAGAGUAAGAGUUGCAGAGAGGAAAGAGGUAUUUUCUUUUUCUCUCCGAGUUUUGAGUGAUGACUGAG